GGGGAAUGUGAUUCUCAGCUGUGGUGCUAUUUGCUGGAAACCAAAGCUGUAAAGCUUCCUCACAUAUUAAAAAAAAAAAAAAAAUCUGAUUUUAAUGGGUUUUUUCCACCAGCACAGAAACAAUGCAGUGUUUCUGUUCACUUGAGUGAAUUUGUGCUGGGGUCAGAGGCUUGGCUGGUGCUUUAUUAAGAACAUUACAUGGUCCUGCAAAUGGAAUUCAAGAACUGCAAAAAAUUUGUAUAUGUCUUAGACAUAGCUGUGUAUGUCAGUUUUCAGCUGAGCAUCGCUUGUCACAUGGUCCUAGAGGGAGCAGCUGUGAGCCAGGCUGUCUGCUCGGGAUGUUCCUCUGGGAAGUGUGCUUAGAAAGGCAGCUCCACUGAACUGCUCUCAAACACAACUUUUGAAGCCUCAUAGGCCUGGGAUUGGGACACAGGCACUGCUGGCUGUGCAUACACAAGUGAGGACAAAGCUUUGAAAUGAGAUAACCAGUGGAAUAUUUUUCCAUACCUAUGCAGAAAGAAACAUGGUCGAGUAUUCCAGAACAGUAUUAAUGAGUCUGUUGAGAAGCCUGUAUAGUAUUAUUUUGAUGAAAAAUUCAAGAUGUGAUGGCACAAGACAAAUGCCACUUGUGCAGCUGAUGACAAGUGUAAGAGGAUCGCUGCAGCCUCAUGACGGUGUGGAGGAGAUACAGAAUCACAGAAUCAUUUAACCCAGCAGUGCCAAGGCCACAACUAAACCACUGGCCUGAGUGCCACGACUAUGUCUGUGCAUCACCUGGGGAUGAUGCACAGUGCAUCACCUGGGGAUGGUGAUUCUACCACUUCCCUGGGCAGCCUGUUCCAGUGCUUUACAAGCCUUUCAGUGAAUAAUUUUUCCCUAAUAUCCAAUCUAAACCUGCUCUGGUGCAGCUUGAGGCCAUAUCCUCUUGUCCUGUUGCUAGUUACCUGAGAGAAGAGGCCAAUCCCCACAUCACCAAAAAUUCCUGUCAGGGAGUUUUAGAGAGCAAUAAGGUCCUCCUGAGCCUUCUUUUCUUCAGACUAAAUAGCCCCAGCUCCCCCAGCUGCUCGUCAGACUUUUGCUCCAGCCCCUUCCCCAGCUUUGUUCCCUUCUCUGGACAUGCUCCAGCCCCCCCCAGUGCCUUUUGCAGAGAGGGGCCAAAAAUGAACCCAGUGUUUGAGCUGUGGCCUCACCAGCACCCAGCACAGGGGGACAAUCACUACCCUAGUCCUGCUGGCCGCACCACUGCUGAUACAAGACUCAAUGAAACACAGUUUAAUUUCUUGGAUAGAAUAGAUGCUUGCUAUCAGUAUAUUUCUAAACGAAUUGUGUCAGGGAGUUUAACUCCACCACUCCUUUAAAUAGCUAAGUAGCAGUUGAGGUUCCAUAUAAAUGGAACAAACAGAACCAAAACCAAAAAGCAUCUACAUGAUAAUGUUGACAACUCUGUCUGUCGAGUCAUAAUGAACAUUUGAAGUCAUUC